GAGAUCCAAGCAUUUCACUAUCGAGCAACGGAGAAGGACAACGAUAAAUGACAGGUAUGCAUCUUGACUAGCUCGCUGAGGGGGAUGGCUUGGUGGAUCUAAUGUUCGUUUGCUUGUAUCGCUACUAGGCCUGCUGUUGAUCGAAAGGAGCAAGCGAGCAACACCAGUGGACUACCCUUGAAAAUUGUGACCUGGCAAGUCUAGUAAGUGAUGCUUGCAUCAUAAUACAUUCACUUGAGACUACAUGAAUGCCCCCUAAUAUUUUAGGGAUGAGGCGACAGGGAAUAGCCCUUUCACUGUCUUCAUCUACUUUUGUUCUCCAGGUUUGCAUUCUAUUUACGAAUUACAUUAGCAGUCAUUCUUUGAAGUAUUGAGUUUCUCCAUGUUUUCACAUUUAUAGCAUGUCUUAGAUGCAUAGUCUAGAGAAUUUGAUUUUAUUCUUGUUCUAAAUAUUGCAUUUGAUGGAACAGAACGAGACCUUACUACGUUGCACUUAUCCAAAUUGAUCAGAAGUUAAUUUUAACAUCAUAAAGAAAAUAUCUGAUUUACAGAUGUCCGCCCAAAACAUACCACCAGGAAAAUAUUGCACAUAUUAUCCUUCCCUCUAAAUCUCAUCAGGUAUGCUGAACAGGGGCGCAAAACUUCUAAAAACAUUGUAGCAUGCCUUCUCUAAAACUAAGCUUUUUUGUUACUUGUUUUUUCAAGACAAGCGGCACAAAACAUAGCCAACAUUCCAGUUGUUACACUCAACCAAGUAAAUAUGGUCAGCCAUCCAGUUCCCAUCUCUUCUACUUCUCUACUACUACUUAUGUACCUAACGUAGGCGUCCACACUCAAAAUUGGUGCACGGUUCUGCCUUUCUCCACGCGCUGGCCGCGAAUCUCGUCGGUCUACCAAAUCCGUCGCGAAUCUCGUCCACAAAACUUCCAGCCAUGGCUGCCGUGACCAAUCCAUGGCAGCCGCGCCCUGGUCCCCCGACCGCGCCGGCUUCCAUCCAUGGUGCUUCUUCUUGUUGUGGUGUUCGGAUCGCAGUCCACUGACCGAACCGAACCACUGUUCGACGGAGCAGAUGACACGAUGGCCAUCUUCCUGGCGCUGCGGUCGCCGAAGCUGGAGGUGUUGGGCCUCACCACUACCUUCGGCAACGUCCACACCGCCCUCGCCACGCGCAACGCGCUCCACCUGGUGCCGCCGCCUACCUUCCUUCCUCUCUCUCCCCCACCCUGCUCGUCUGUUCCACCCACUCCGACCGCGGCUCACAUUUGCUUCUGAUGUGUGUGCUUGAGCUGGAGGCUGUUGGCAGGACUGACAUCCCUAUGGCAGAGGGAUCCCAUCCAACGAUCAAGAAAGCCACCAAGCUGAGGAUCGCAAGCUUUGUCCACGGUUCAGACGGCCUGAGGAUCGCAAGCUUCGUCCACGGUUCAGACGGCCACUGUGGAUCGAGGUGCGGCAGGUCGGGGCGCCGCCGCGGAUUGUAGGCUCGACCGAGACUACUUCGUCACCAACGUCCUCGUAUGUUCUCAUAUAUGGGUGGAAGAUAAAGAUUUGUCCUGGGUUGAUGGUGAGGUAUUUCGAAUUGAUGGCCAAAACGCCCAUGUUCGCACAACCAAGGGGAAGGCGGGAUGGCGUAUUGUGGCGGCUACGAGGGACCGAUGUUCCUGUGUGGCAGUGACAACGAUACCGUGGAGCCAAGGCAAUGUCAGCAAGCUGAUUUUUCAGAUUGGAAUCUAUGGUUCUUUUUAAAGAUCGAAUAUGUUCUAGCAUCUUAAAAAGAUUUGUCAGAAUGUAAACAUUUGUUCUGAGGUCAUUUAGGCCUCAAACAGAAUUUCUUGGACUUAUUUCGUUGGAGGGAAUGGGACAUCUUGAGAUCU